GUUGAACGCUGGCGGCAGGCUUAACACGUGCAAGUCGAGCGGGGGAAGGUAGCUUGCUACCGGACCUAGCGGCGGACGGGUGAGUAAUGCUUAGGAAUCUGCCUAUUAGUGGGGGACAACAUCUCGAAAGGGAUGCUAAUACUGCAUACGUCCUACGGGAGAAAGCAGGGGAUCUUCGGACCUUGCGCUAAUAGAUGAGCCUAAGUCGGAUUAGCUAGUUGGUGGGGUAAAGGCCUACCAAGGCGACGAUCUGCAGCGGGUCUGAGAGGAUGAGCCGCCACACUGGGACUGAGACACGGCCCAGACUCCUACGGGAGGCAGCAGUGGGGAAUAUUGGACAAUGGGGGGAACCCUGAUCCAGCCAUGCCGCGUGUGUGAAGAAGGCCUUAUGGUUGUAAAGCACUUUAAGCGAGGAGGAGGCUACUCUAGUUAAUACCUAGGGAUAGUGGACGUUACUCGCAGAAUAAGCACCGGCUAACUCUGUGCCAGCCGCCGCCGUAACAC
rnacentral:rRNA from 1 species